UGAUCCAGAGGGAGAAUGUAUACAGUACUGUGUCCAAUACGUGCGCCCUUCGCUCGCGUCGUAACCUGGUUCGUAGUUUCAUCUUUAGGAUUUGGGCAUCCCAUAACAAGUCUGCCUAUUGAAGAGUAUCCUUGUCUCCAAAGAUUAUGAAUAAAGAAAACCACCCUUUGAUAAUGAACUUACCUUCAAGUUAUAUAAUAUUGUGUUAAAGUGUAUUGAUUUCAUUUGUAUACAAACUUACUAACUGAGCAAAAUAGAGUAACACUAUACUUUGGUUUGUUAAGUUAAUUUCAAAAUGGCCUUUACAAUUGUGUUCUUAUAGUUGGAGGUAUUUUAGGAUAAGAGUCAGUGUACUGGUGUACACCUGAUUUUUCUUUUCAGUAUUUGAGAAUAUUGAAUUACAAUUUAGAACACAAAGAAAACAAUCACAUGUUCUUGGUUGGUUUGGACAGAACUAAUCUCCUGCUUAGGAGAAUUAUUAAUUUCCGAGCCUAGCAGAAUGGGAUGUGGAGGGUCCUUCUAACAGCCAUUACUGUCUUUCGGAGAACCAAAAGUAAUCUUGUUAUCUUGGUCACGCAUAGUCCGGCGCAGCUGUAACACCUCAUCAGCCAGUCCCAGCAUUGGUUCGUCUCUGCAGAGCUCUGCGCCGGGCCGGUACAGUCGGUUUUCACAUCUAGUUUCAGCCAGUUUCAGGGCAUUUGUCUUCUCC